GACGAACGCUGGCGGCGUGCUUAACACAUGCAAGUCGAACGGAAAGGCCCUGCUUUUGUGGGGUGCUCGAGUGGCGAACGGGUGUGUAACACGUGAGUAACCUGCCCUUGACUUUGGGAUAACUUCAGGAAACUGGGGCUAAUACCGGAUAGGAGCUCCUGCUGCAUGGUGGGGGUUGGAAAGGUUCGGCGGUUGGGGAUGGACUCGCGGUCUAUCAUCUUGUUGGUGGUGUAGUGGCUUACCAAGGCUUUGACGGGUAGCCGGCCUGAGAGGGUGACCGGCCACAUUGGGACUGAGAUACGGCCCAGACUCCUACGGGAGGCAGCAGUGGGGAAUAUUGCACAAUGGGCGGAAGCCUGAUGCAGCAACGCCGCGUGCGGGAUGACGGCCUUCGGGUUGUAACCCGCUUUCGCCUGUGACGAAGCGUGAGUGACGGUAAUGGGUAAAGAAGCACCGGCUAACUACGUG
rnacentral:rRNA from 1 species